GCGCACUCUUGCGGGCUAGUGUCCUACAUCUUGGGUGGGCAAUACCGCUGAUACUGCUUCUGCUGCUUGUGCUUGCAUUUCUGACGUGAACCUGCUGGUGAGGCCGACUCGAAGUUGCCUGUCUGCGAAAUAUGUGUUCUUCUAACCGCUCGAACCUCUCCGGAAUGUAAGCUGUUUUUCACCGAACCGCUCGUGGCAAUGUCCCGUCAGCCGUUCUCCCUCUCCGAACGUCGUGACUGUACCUCGUUGUGACCCCUUUGCCGUGUGAUGUGUGGAUGGACGGUGUUUUCGUCGAGGUUACGCGUCUCCCUAAGCCUAGCCCAUGCUCCGAUCCAUCUCUACGGCCUCAUGAGCGUUGAUUCCUGCUCGAGAAAGCCCUAGGGGAUCGCCGAUUGGGAGACGAAGCUCGAGAGCAUCGGCCGCGCAGCCGCCGACCCAUGGUAGGAGAGACCGCUUACUCCAAAGUUUCUACCGCACUGCCGUCCGGCGUACCCGCCUUCGUGGAGGGCCGCCGCAAAGGUAACAUGCCUCAAGUCGUCAAGAAAUGGCAAGUCUUCCCAGGAAGAAACAAGUUCUACUGCGAUGGCAGGCUCAUGAUGGCGCGACAGACGGGUGUGUUCUACGUCACCGUCGUGCUGAUCGUCGGAACGUGCACUCUAUUUUUUGUGUGCGACUGCCCUUACCUGACUCGUGAGAUCAGCCCAGCAAUCCCAGCAGUGGCAGCAGUCUUGUUCCUCUUUGUGAUGUCUGCGCUGUUUAGGACUAGCUUCAGUGACCCUGGAGUCAUUCCUAGGGCCAGUGCUGAAGAAGCGGCAGACAUAGAAAAACAAAUAGAGGUGCCAAAUGGGUCAAGUUCCCCGACGUUCCGGCCGCCUCCCCGUACCAAAGAAGUGGUCGUGAGCGGCCAGACAGUGAAGCUCAAAUAUUGCUUUACGUGCAAGAUAUUUCGGCCUCCGAGGGCUUCGCAUUGCAGUCUCUGUGACAAUUGUGUUGAGAGGUUUGACCACCACUGCCCUUGGGUGGGCAACUGUGUAGGAAAAAGAAACUAUCGGUACUUUUACAUAUUCAUCAUUUCACUCGCUUUCCUGUGUGUCUUCGUAUUUUCCUGUGUCAUCACGCACAUUGUUUAUGUUGCCCGUGAACAUGAGUCAUACCUAGAGGCUGUGAAGGAAUCCCCUGCGAGUGUGGUUGAAGGAGUGGUAUGCUUCUUCUCUGUAUGGUCCAUCAUGGGUCUGGCGGGUUUCCACACCUACCUCACUACUUCCAACCAGACUACCAACGAAGAUAUCAAAGGCUCUUUCUCAUCAAGAAGAGGGCAAGAUGUGUACAAUCCAUACAGCAAGGGCUCCUUCAUAAGCAACUGCAUAUCGGUGCUGUGCAGCCCUGCACCGCCAAGCCUGAUUGAUCGGCGAGGUGUGGUGAUCGCGGAUAGCGGGCCGGUGUUGAGGGAGAGCUACGGCACUGUUAAAGCAUUUCAUCUAUCGCGGAAUGGUCUUCAGCUCAAUGCUAACACUGCAAGUGGGGCUGUUGGCCCGACCCCCAUGAUUGACAUGAAGACCAGCCAUGUGCCAUACACUGGGCCUCCCCUGCACACGGGGCGAGCCACGCUACCCCAAGCAGCCAAUGGCUCCUACCCGCGGGACGUACUCUAUCAAAACUCUGGCAGCCAUGGUUGACGUUUCUCCUUCCUCUUCUCCUUCUCUUUGCGAUUUACCUAACCUUUCCUCCAGUGCCUCCGAAAAGACAUGGAGGGGCCACAUACCUGUGGCCGUAGUGCCUCCGCAGUCGCGCCACCCAUCCGAGCCAAGUUCGAUCACCAAGGGUCUACUCCCAGACAGCAUCGACCACGAGUUUGGGGUAGACGCUGGUAGUCAGCUCUCGCUCCUCAAGCAAAGUUCGGUGUGACCGCGCCAGGCAUGCACACGUAGUCUCACAGAAAACAGGAGAGGCCUCCUCGCCAGA
rnacentral:misc_RNA from 1 species